GCAGUGAGAUUUGGUGGGUAACAUGGUCUUUUAUUUACAUGGCCUUUUACUGGACCGACUUCUGUUGGUGAGAGAGCCAUGGAGCGCACUGUGGUUCGCCAUGCAUUGGCCAUACUAUUUGCUCUGCCCUGAGGGAGGGUGGAGAUGAGGCCGGGGAGCUGCCGGCGGAUGGGUUUCGAGCCUGCCUCGGGACGGCGGUGUCAACGGGUAACGUGGAGAUGACCCCGUGCUGGGCCCGAGGCCAACAGCGCCGCGUCUCCUUGCGGAGUAGAAUGGUUGACUUUCUCUGCUUCCGCCCGAAGCCUGAUUUCAGCAGGAGGUAUCCCUCCGCGUCUCCCCCCGCCUCCUGCUCCGCAGCAGAUGUCCGGCUGCCCCAUGCGAUGUCCGUUCAACUGUCAGGUUAACCGCCCCGCCACAUACCAGGCGAGACGCCAUGGGAAGGCGGCGGCUCCAGGCCGGGAGCCCGCAGGGAGGAGGAAAGGCGCUUGGGAAGUAGUUCCGGUGAGGAGCCGGAGGAGGGAAGUUACCGUCGCGCCGCCGCCGGUUCACAAUGACUAAUGAAGAACCUCUCCCAAAGAAGGUUCGCCUUAGUGAAACAGACUUUAAGGUUUUGGCUAGAGAUGAACUGAUCCUAAGGUGGAAGCAAUAUGAAGCAUAUGUACAGGCUCUGGAGGGCAAAUACACAGAUCUUAAUUCUAAUGAUGUAACUGGAUUGAGAGAGUCUGAAGAGAAGCUGAAGCAACAACAGCAAGAGUCUGCCCGAAGAGAGAAUAUCCUAGUGAUGAGGCUGGCAACUAAGGAACAGGAAAUGCAAGAGUGUACUAAUCAGAUUCAGUACCUCAAGCAAGUCCAGCAGCCUAGUGUUGCCCAACUGAGAUCAACAAUGGUGGACCCAGCCAUCAACUUGUUUUUCCUAAAAAUGAAAGGUGAACUGGAACAGACUAAAGACAAACUGGAACAAGCCCAAAAUGAACUGAGUGCCUGGAAAUUUACGCCUGAUAGAGGCCUGAUGGCGUCGGACUAUUCUGAAGAAGUGGCUGCCUCUGAAAAAAAAAUUUCUUUUCUAGAACAUGUAGACACGUGCAAAGUGGUUCUAUUUGAAGAAAUAGAGGGAGAAACAGAAGGCUUAAGUCUGUGGCACACUGUGUCUACAGACAGUUUGGAGGAGAGAGAACCUAGAGAUUUUAAAUCAUGAAUUGAACAUGUAAAAUUCCAGUAAAAUGUAAAAAUGGAAUAUGCUUCGCUCUUAACCUUGAGCCUAGUGACUUAGAGACACUGUAAGUCAGUUUUGCCAAUAAGACUGGACUUCCUGCUUGUUCACUGAACUGCUGGGUCAAAACUCAAUGAGGUCAGCACAACUCUAAGCUUCAAGAACUUGGCAUUGGACAUCACAUCAAGAUAAAGAACAGGUUGCUGUAUUAAGCACAUUUGCAGGCUUCCAGGACUUUACACAGCCAGAUUCCUUCUGGAGCAGCCCCUCUGAAAGAUGUGGGAGAGUCAGUUGGAAGACUUUAAAUGGGACAGUUGGCAGAACUAUUAAAAAUCUGAAGUGUUAAAAGCUUGAAUGCUUAAACAGUUAAUUGAGAGAUGAUUUGAAGUGACUUUUGGCUGGGCACCAGUUUUGCUGGGGAGAGCUGUGGUCUGAAGCACACUAGCAAUAUUUUUUUACCUUUUUAAUAUGCAAAAUUUCAUUCUGCCCUUGUAACUUUAUUAUACAGUCUCAAGCUGACCUCCUCAGGCUUGUUACCUAAUACAAGUCCUGAAGUUCAAUCACAAACCCAUUAAUUCUGUUUUUCCAGGGCUUUCAUUUCCUGUGGAAAAAGAGGACUGCUUCAUUAUAUAUGUUGCUAAACCUCAAAGAAGGCAAAAUAUUUGUGGUUACUUUCCAAACUUUGGCAGACCAACAGUGUUAGAGGGCUUUAGCUAUCAACUUUAUUUUGUGAUGAAAUAAACAUUAUUGCCUAUAUAUUAAUUUGCAUACUAGUUCCUAUAAUGCUCUACAUUGCAGUUUUAACAUGAAGAUUUAAGAUAUGCGUAUGUUCCUGAUUUUGCAAAAAGCAGACUAUCAAAUCUGCUUUUUCCCCAUGAAAUACUUUUUGGUCUGGUGUUUCCUGGCUUUUAAUCACCAGGCACUCUUAAAGGUACACUGUCAACUUUAAAAUCUGGUUAAACUUAAAAAAAACAAAAAAAAACACUACUUGCUCCUGAAUCCCCCUGCUGCCUUGUAUUUUUCAGCUCCAUUUUCUCUUAUCUCCCCUCACACUCUGUGAAAGACACAAAGGAGGAGCUGACUGUAGCUAUUGGGGAAACAACGAAGCAAUGUAUAUAAUAUAGUCAAAAGUACAAAACUGGAAAAAUAUAAAUAUUUAAUCAUUCAGGUACGUUAAGUAAGAAGUUUUCAUGCUGAUCAAAAAAACCCAUUAAAUUCAAUAUUCUUCAAACCUGACAGGUUAAAAAAAAAAAAAAAAAGCUGACUAGCUAGUAAAAUAUUUAGUACAUAAAGUGAAGGAGCACUUUUAAUGUUUGUAACUCACUGUCUGAUUACCAGGCACAUAACCUUUUUUUUUUCUUCCUUUGAGAAUGGA